rnacentral:lncRNA from 1 species
CUUAGGUUGCAUUUUGUUACUUUUUAAAUAUUCUCAACAUUUACCAUGUCUUCCAUUCACUCUGCAGACUCCAGAUGAGCUCAGCUUUCCAAAAUCAGUUCUACCAACUCCUACCCUCCGGUACCAGGAUGAUCAGCAUAGCUGAAGGAUGUCACAAAAUUAUGAGGGACAUGGAUGAAUCUGGAGAACAUCAUCCUCAGCAAACUGACACAAGAACAGAAAAUGAAACACCGCAUGUUCUCACUCAUAGGUGGGUGAUGAAAAAUGAGAACACAUGGACACAGAAAGGGGAGUACUAAACACUGGGGUCUGUUGGGGGGAAAAGGGGAGGGCCAGUGGGAGGGGGAGGUGGGGAGGGAUAGCCUGGGGAGAAAUGACAAAUGUGGGUGAAGGGGAGAAGAAAAGCAAAGCACACUGCCAUGUGUGUACCUAUGCAACAGUCUUGCAUGCUCUGCUCAUGUACCCCCAAACCUAUAAUCCAAUAAAAAAUUAAAA